rnacentral:rRNA from 1 species
GACGAACGCUGGCGGCGUGCUUAACACAUGCAAGUCGAACGGAAAGGCCUGCAGCUUGCUGCGGGUACUCCAGUGGCGAACGGGUGAGUAACACGUGGGUGAUCUGCCUUGCACUUCGGGAUAAGCUUGGGAAACUGGGUCUAAUACCGGAUAGGACAGCUGUUUAGUGUCAGUUGUGGAAAGUUUUUUCGGUGCAAGAUGAGCUCGCGGCCUAUCAGCUUGUUGGUGGGGUAAUGGCCUACCAAGGCGUCGACGGGUAGCCGGCCUGAGAGGGUGUACGGCCACAUUGGGACUGAGAUACGGCCCAGACUCCUACGGGAGGCAGCAGUGGGGAAUAUUGCACAAUGGGCGGAAGCCUGAUGCAGCGACGCCGCGUGGGGGAUGAAGGCCUUCGGGUUGUAAACUCCUUUCGACAGGGACGAAGCUUUUGUGACGGUACCUGUAGAAGAAGCACCGGCUAACUACGUG